UACGAAGGGGGGCUAGCGUUGUUCGGAUUUACUGGGCGUAAAGCGCACGUAGGCGGAUCGUUAAGUCGGGGGGUGAAAUCCUGGAGCUCAACUCCAGAACUGCCUUCGAUACUGGCGAUCUUGAGUCCGGAAGAGGUGAGUGGAAUUCCUAGUGUAGAGGUGGAAUUCGUAGAUAUUAGGAAGAACACCAGUGGCGAAGGCGGCUGCACUAGGUCCGGUACUGACGCUGAGGUGCGAAAGCGUGGGGAGCAAACAGG
rnacentral:rRNA from 1 species